rnacentral:rRNA from 1 species
GGGGAAUAUUGCGCAAUGGGGGCAACCCUGACGCAGCCAUGCCGCGUGAAUGAAGAAGGCCUUCGGGUUGUAAAGUUCUUUCGGUAGCGAGGAAGGCAUUUAGUUUAAUAGACUAGAUGAUUGACGUUAACUACAGAAGAAGCACCGGCUAACUCCGUGCCAGCAGCCGCGGUAAUACGGAGGGUGCGAGCGUUAAUCGGAAUAACUGGGCGUAAAGGGCACGCAGGCGGUGACUUAAGUGAGGUGUGAAAGCCCCGGGCUUAACCUGGGAAUUGCAUUUCAUACUGGGUCGCUAGAGUACUUUAGGGAGGGGUAGAAUUCCACGUGUAGCGGUGAAAUGCGUAGAGAUGUGGAGGAAUACCGAAGGCGAAGGCAGCCCCUUGGGAAUGUACUGACGCUCAUGUGCGAAAGCGUGGGGAGCAAACAGGAUUAGAUACCCUGGUAGUCCACGCUGUAAACGAUGUCGAUUUGGGGGUUGAGCUUUGAGCUUGGCGCCCGUAGCUAACGUGAUAAAUCGACCGCCUGGGGAGUACGGCCGCAAGGUUA